UUAAGUUCAGCGGGUAUCCCUACCUGAUCCGAGGUCAACCUCUCUUAGUUUAGACUAAAUGGGGGGUCCAGUAGCUCAGAACAUGACUUGGAGAAGACUAAUUUAGCAUUUUAAAACACUCCUGGAGUCUAUUACCACAGUCAACUUCUAUGGCCUAUUCAUUUCAGUAGGGUCAGACAAAGUAGUGUUAGUACUAUCCA
rnacentral:misc_RNA from 1 species